rnacentral:rRNA from 1 species
CAGCCGCCGCGGUAAUACGAGGGGGGCAAGCGUUGUUCGGAAUUAUUGGGCGUAAAGGGCGCGUAGGCGGUUUGGCAAGUUUGGUGUGAAAUCUUCGGGCUCAACUCGAAAUCUGCACCGAAAACUGCCGGGCUUGAGUAUGGGAGAGGUGAGUGGAAUUUCCGGUGUAGCGGUGAAAUGCGUAGAUAUCGGAAGGAACACCUGUGGCGAAAGCGGCUCACUGGACCAUUACUGACGCUGAGGCGCGAAAGCUAGGGGAGCAAACAGGAUUAGAGACCCCUGUAGUCCCUGUCUCUUAUAC